AGCCCCUAGCGCAGACGGCGGAGAGCGGAGAGGGAGCGCGCCUUGGCUUGCUGGCCUUGGCUGCGGCUCCUCGGGAGAGCUGGGGCGCCCACGAGAGGAUCCCUCACCUGGGUCUCUCCUCAGGGAUGACAUCAUACGUCCACCUCCUUGUCUUCAAGGACCACCUCCUCUCCAUGCCGAGCUGCUACCAAGGGGCCUGCUGCCCAUCUACGCCUUAUGAGGGCACUAGGAGCACGGAUUCCUGCAUCCCACCAGCAUACAAAGCAGCCACCGACUGACCCCCAGGACCAGGAUGGCAAAGGAUGAAGAGGACCGGAACUGACCAGCCAGCUGUCCCUCUUGCCUAAAGACUUAAACCAAUGCCCUAGUGAGGGGGCAUUGGGCAUUAAGCCUUGACCUUUGCUAUGCUCAUGCUGUGACUCUGAGUACUUUCCUAUAAGUCUUUGCUUGUGUUUACCUGCUAGCAAACUGGAGUGUUUCCCUCCCCAAGGGGGUGUCAGUCUUUGUUGACUGACUCUGUCAUCACCCUUACGAUGUCUUGAAUGGAAGGAUCCCUUUGGGAACUUCUCAGGAGGGGGACCUGGGCCAAGGGCUUGACCAGCAUCCUGCUGGCAACUCCAAGGCCCUGGGUGGGCUUCCGGAAUGAGCAUGUUACUGAAUCACCAAAAGCAUGCCCCACCUGUCUGGAGAUCUUUCUGUCCUUUUCUGGGGAAUGGGGUCGAUGGGAGCAACCUCCUAGGGUUGUUGUGAGAAUUAAAUGAGCUAAAAGAGACCUCAGGCAGGAUCUGGCAUAGAGGAGGUGAUCAGCAAAUGUUUGUUGAAAAGGUUUGGCAGGUCAGUCCCUUCCCACCCCUCUUGCUUGUCUUACUCAUCUUAUUUAUUCUCCAACAGCACUCCAGGCAGCCCUUGUCCACGGGCUCUCCUUGCAUCAGCCAAGCUUCUUGAAAGGCCUGUCUACACUUGCUGUCUUCCUUCCUCACCUCCAAUUUCCUCUUCAACCCACUGCUUCCUGACUCGCUCUACUCCGUGGAGGGGCUCUCACAAAGGUAAAGACUUUUCUGUAGCUUAAUCCUUGUCAUGUUUUCGGCUCAUGGACACAACGACACAUUUUCAUGCCUUCUCUCACAGGGCUCUGCGGCUCCGGUUCACUUCUGUGUCCUCACGCUCCCCUUCACAGAGACGCCUGCUCCCCCUUCUCUCAUUCUUAGCGUCCCCGAGGAACUUGCAUACCCAGGUCUCUCGACUUCUGGACCUGCUUCUUACCAUGCUGUCUUAAGCAGUCAGGAGUCGCUGACCUGGGUUUGAAUCCUAGUUAAAUUACUUAGUGCUGAGACCUUGGGAUAGGUAAACUUUUCCAAGCCAGGUUUAUCUCAGUUUCAAAAUAGGGUUAAUCAUCUUUAUCUGGCAGGUCAGGUGGGAUGUCUCACAGGUAAGCACCAGAUGCUAUUUGAAGGGCUUGAAGCAAAGUCAAUAAAGCAUUCAUGAGAAAAAUACAACUGGAGGCACCGCUAGAUUUUCGUAUACAUCAGGUUCCCAUGGGGAGGACUAAAGAGAAGAAAGAAGUGGAAAGGGAGGGGCGUGGAGGAGAGACAGGAGAAGAGAAUAACUAAACAAAGGCAUUAAAGACACAAAACAAGGAGGAAAGGGAGACUUGGAAAAUAUUAAAAGCCAAAAACACAUCCAAAGACGGUUUCCCCUUACGUUAGGUUGGCCUAAAAGAAAGCAAACGGGAAGAAGGGUUUAAAUUGAUUAUCCCAAUGACAAAUCCCAGGAAGCUUUCACAUCAAAUCACCCUAUUUUGGGUUUUUAACUCCUUCCAUUGAGUUUAACCUCUUUACCUCCCACAUCCUGGUAAAAGCUGCCCCCUCCCCACCGCCCCCUUCACUGGUGAUUAAAUCCUGAAGGUACACGAAGUAUUUCAGUGAAUGAAUGGUAACAGAAGAGGCCUCCCCUCCCCCUUACCCCGGCGGUGUUUCUCAGUUUUAUUCCACUUUCCGUCCUUUUCCCUUAAUGAACACAGGGCUAAUCUUGGGCCUUGUCGAAGGAAGAGGCUGCAGACGUUAAUGAGGUUAGCUGCUGGAUUCCAAUAUUCGUCGCAUAAGGAGCCUUCUUUGUCUGCGAAGGAAAAACACACUGAUUAUCAUAAUGAGGUGAACUGGCCACGCCGGGCCGGGGCGAUGUGGCUUCUUAAGCCACACUUCUAAUUUUGGUGAUGGAGUCGACGUUUCUUUUGCUCCUCAUUUAAGUCUUUGCCUCUGUCCCAGUGCGAAGUCCAUUCAGUGGGGUUGAAAGUUGCAGGCAGCUUUGAGAAGGGGGGCUUUGGACAGGGUUGCAUUGUAGAAAAUGGCUUUGUUCCAUCCUUUGCGCAGAGGGAACUGGCCAGAGCAUUCGUUCCCUCUCUCCAAGAGCUGAGGACCCGGGGGCCACUGGUGAUCAGUUCCCAACUCUAGCUCUCCUCUGACUUGUCUCAGGACCCACUGAGGACAUCCCAAACUCACUCAAGAUUAACAAGUGGUAGGAAAGUAGUAACUCCUAGGCAUGGCCCUAGGGGAGUGACUGCAAAGUGAGUACGCGUGGAAUGCCUAGCCAGGUGAAGAAGUGAAUAUAUGUUGGCAUCCCAGAGGGCCCCCCAUAAGAGGGCAUAGUUUGGGGUUCAGAUUUGACUCCAGCAGACUGUUGAAACUGGGACACAGGAGGCUAGUGAUUAGUCAGGAUCAAUCAGUGGAGAGGAGAUUAAAACUCACAUCUGGGAAUGUGGCAUCAGAACUUGUAGUUCUUUUUUUUUUUUUUUUGAAACAGAGUCUGACUUUGUCGCCCAGGCUGGAGUGCAGUGGCGUGAUCUCAGCUCAUGGCAACCUCUGCCUCCCAGGUUCAAGCAAUUCUCCCACCUCAGCCUCCUGAGUAGCUGGGAUUACAGGUGCCCGCCACCACAGCUGGCUAAUGUUUGUAUUUUCAGUAGAGACGGGGCUUCACCAUGUUGGUCAGGCUGGUCUCGAACUCCUGACCUCGUGAUCCACCUGCCUCGGCCUCCCAGAGUGCUGGGGUUACAGGUGUGAACCCCCGCGCCCGGCCUGUAGUAGUUCUUCUUUUGCCCCUUAAUAUCCUCACCCACAUGUCCUGUACCCUAACUGAGCCCUCAUCCUCUUUUUGUUCUGAUCUUUGAGCUCCCUAGAGCCCAUAAUUCUUUAGAGCAGGUAGGUCCUGAGUCUGAAACAUGCCCUUAUUUGUCCCAAGCUCUGGACAUUUCUCACCCCAAGGCAGAUCAAUCAUGAUUAGAUCACUCCAAUUAAACUUAGGCUCCAGUCGGACCUUUAGCCAAAUGGAAAAAAACUAGGGGAUAAGGCGGGUAGUUGGAGCAAGAAAAUGUUAUUGGUUGAAACCUUAUGGGGCCUUCCUUCCUUGGUGAGUCUGUUGGCUAAUGGUUCUCCGACAUCGUGAAUUAGAAAUGGAUACUGUUUCCAAGUUAGCAAAACCAACUCUACCCCAGUGCCCCACGAGAAAGAACGUGGAAGGAUCUUCCAUUGGCAGGUUGGGGCAGAAGCCUGAGGCAAUCUUUCAUCCCCUUUUGCCAAGGUGAGACUUUCCCAGUGACCGUGAUGUAGUUGGCCACUCUGUCUAGGGGAGUGUUCAGAUUACGGGUGGACUGGGGUAUAGACCUCUGAAGCUGAGAUCACACGAAAACCUGGCCUCCCCUGCCAUGUAGCUGUUGGAGAGUAGAAAAAUAGAGCAUUCCUGAUUCUAAAUGGGAAGACUUUCUUCAACAGUAACGAAGAAUCGAUGGCACCCUCCUCACCCUCAGAUACACGGCAAUCAUUAACAUACAGGCCCCAAAGCCACUGUCAGUACUGCAGUAGCUCCUGUGGACAGUCAAAAGCCUGGAGAGGGUGUGGAAGAGAAAUCAGUUAGCCCUGGGCAGGUUCUCUGGGGUUUUGUGCCCAAGGCUCCUGUAGCCUUAACAAACUUUUAAAAGUUAACUCCCCACAUCCCCAUCCUGCUUGGGUUUCUGGACUUUUCUGAGGCACUGGCAGAGGGAUCUCAUUGCUUCCUUGAGUGUAGGGGCAGCCCCUUUAACCUGGCUCCUUGAGUCACUGCUUUUUCUGCAUCUGUUGCCUUCUUCCUCGCCUGUCCUCUCUCUCAAUGUCUCCCUCUCUUUGUCCCUCCCCAAUUCCUGACCUGGCCCUCCUGGGGUGCCCUUGGCCAGCCCCGUGCUUCCUCAGGGUGUCCCAGCACCAGCCUGGCACAGAGUGGGGCUCAGUUAGAGUAUGUGGGAUGUAGGGUUUUGCCAGGUGAGUGGAUGGAAGGACUCGACCACCACAGCUGAGCCCCCAGGUGGGCCACGCGAAGAGUUCUAGGUACAAAGGCUGGAGGGUGGAAUUCAUUUUUGAGAGGGGUGUGAGCAGUUUCCGACCCCGGCCCCACUUGAACGGGGGCCUUGCUGGUCGCGUCCUUGCAUUCACCUGCGCGGCCAUCCAUCAUCCAACAGUUGAUCCUAACUGAGCACAUCCACAGCCCUGGCUCUGGCCUGGGCACCUGCCACCGUAGUCCAUCCCUUGAUGGCCUCUGUGUCCCCAGGAGGGCGGGCCGGGGGGUUGCCCCAGGGGCUGGAGCAGUGGACUCUGGCUCCGUAGAGGUCAGGCUGGAGGGUGUGAGGGCAGAUUCAAGCUAUCCCCAGGGCUCUGCUCUGGUCGGAGCCAGCACCUUCUCCCUCUCUGCCUUCUCUGCCCCAUCCCUGAUGCUGAGCUGUUCUGGACCCCGGCCCUGAGUCUCUCAGGACCAAAGUGGGCAUGGGAACAGCUGUAGUGUGUGCCCCCGGGCUUUGGCCACAGGUCUCCCUCUCGAGGUGUGGUUGUGACUGCGACCCUUCCCUUGCCAUGAUGCCUUCCUCCCCCGGGGCUUGGUCCAAGCUCCUUAACCCUCUAGUAGCUGCUGGGGCCCGUGUCCCAUGCGGAGGACCAGCAGGGGAAACCUCCAGGGAGCAUCUGCAGGCUCUGCCUCUGCCCAGCUGCUGACUUGGCUCUCCCUGGUGGCUCUCCAACGGCCAGGUUCCUCACCCACCCGGCACUCCGCUUGCUCUGUCUCUUGAGGUGGGCCUGACCCACCUCCCCUUCUCUGCCUCAAUCCCUGGGCUCCAGGGCUCAGCUCCACAGCCCUCUGCCUAGCAGUCUGGUUCUCCCCGCCAACCCCAUACCUGUGGUCACCUGGCCUUCCUGACGUCUGAGUAUCACUGCCCUGACCCAGGAGCCACUCCCACUCCAGCUGCCUGUUUCCAGCAGGUUCCCAGUGCCCCCGACAAGCCCCUGCUGGUGUCUCCAUCUCCUGCCAAGCAUCCUCCAAUGCCUCCUCCUGUGGGCCUGGCCUCCGGGCUAUGGACAGACUCCUCUCCCUUCCCAGAGACCCCUCGUGAUCGUGCCCUGGUGGGUGUUGCCCCUGCCUGCCUUUGUCUCCGCCAUGGCCCUGAGAGUCCUGGGCUCUGCCCUGCCUGGUCCCUUGCUCCCCACUCGGUUCUGGGUUUGCGGCUGCCUCUAACCCAACCCGUUGCUUCUUUGCACCUUUUCCUGUCAUUGGGCAUCCCCCACUAGUCACCCCACUCCACUGAAAAACAAAAAACUGCAGGCACGUGGGCCGUGUCCCGGCUGGGUUGGCUGAAGAACUGCUGAUGGAAGCGGCGGAAGAGGCCCCGAUGGGGCCCACCACCCUGGACCCAAGUCUUCUUCCUGGCGGGCCUCUCGUCUCCUUCGUGGUUUGGGCCGAAGCCAUCACCUGGAUUCCUACGUGGGAAGGGACCUCGGACGUGGGACCCCAGCCCCCCUCCAGCUCGAAAUCCCUCCACAGCCACGGGGACGCCCUGCACCUAUUCCCACGGGACAGGCUGGACCCAGAGACUCUGGACCCGGGGCCUCCCCUUGAGUAGAGACCCGCCCUCUGACUGAUGGACGCCGCUGACCUGGGGUCAGACCCGCGGGCUGGACCCCUGCCCACCCCACAGGAACCCCGAGGCCUAGGGGAGCUGUUGAGCCUUCGGUGUCUGCAUGUGGGAAGUGGGCUUGUUCACCUACCUCACAGGGCUGUUGUGAGGGGCGCUGUGAUACGGUUGCAAAGCACGGGCUUGGCGCACUCCACUGUGCUCUCAAUAAAUGUGUUUCCUGUCUUA